AUGUUACUUGACCAUGAUGAACCUACGAACUAUGAGGACACGAUGAUGAGCCCAGAUUCCGCAAAAUGGCUUGAGGCCAUGAAAUCUGAGAUGGGAUCCAUGUAUGAGAACAAAGUAUGGACUUUGAUUGACUUGCCCAAUUAUCGGCGAGCCAUUGAGAUUAAAUGGAUCUUCAAGAGGAAGACGGACGCUGAUAGUAGUGUUACUAUCUACAAAGCUAGAAUUGUCGCAAAAGGUUUUCAACAAGUUCAAGGUGUUGACUACGAUGAGUGUUUCUCACUUGUAUCUAUGCUUAAGUCUGUCCGAAUCAUGUUAGCAAUUGCCACAUUUUAUGAAAUCUGGCAAAUGGAUAAACGAAACUGCGUUCCUUAA
rnacentral:rRNA from 1 species